UACGGAGGGUGCGAGCGUUAAUCGGAAUUACUGGGCGUAAAGGGUGCGUAGGUGGUUUAAUAAGUUAGCUGUGAAAUCCCCGGGCUUAACCUGGGAAGGUCAGCUAAAACUGUAAGACUUGAGUAUAGUAGAGGGUGGCGGAAUUUCCGGUGUAGCGGUGAAAUGCGUAGAGAUCGGAAGGAACACCUGUGGCGAAGGCGGCCACCUGGGCUAAUACUGACACUGAGGCACGAAAGCAUGGGGAGCAAACAGG
rnacentral:rRNA from 1 species